UGUGUGUGUGUUCAUGAAAGAGAGAGAGUGUGUGCGUGUACCCGUGUGUGUCUGUGUGUGUUUGUGUGUGAGUGUGUGAUCGUGGUGUUUCUUUUUUAAAUUAAGAAGAUUGUGCUGAAAUGUGUCUUUGCCCGUGUUAUAAAUCAUGUUAUUGUUUGACUUCUCAGGAUUUUGUGAAGAACAUUACUGGUAGUUCUGAGCAUUUCUGGAUUGGUUUGACUGAUAUUGAGGAGGAGGACAGAUGGAAAUGGGUUGAUGGCAGCAACAUCAACAUCACCUCUGGGUCCUGGGCGUCUGGAGAACCAAACAACAGUGAGGGAAAAAAGUAGUGUUAAAUGGAUCUGUGAGAAGAGUAUUCUUAAAUGAUACAUUAUAAUAAAAAUGUACAUGUACAUCAUGAACGUAUAAAUGUCAGUAAUUUUACCUGUUUUUUUUUUUUAUGGCACAUUAAUUAGGUUAUUCUGUAAAAACAAAUAAAAAAUAAAUAGAAAAAAAACAUUGUAAUAUUAAAAUUUUCAUAUAAAACAUUUUAAAAUCAUUUUAUUUUGAAUUUUUUAGAUCUGAACUAAAAUCUGAAUGUGAAAAACAACAGUGAUGUUUCUACAGACUGAAAUAAAAUCAGUAAUACACUGAUAUAAUAGAAAUAUUCAUAAAAACAGCAUUGAUCCAAUAUUCUUAACCAAAAUGAUCAUGAUUUUAGGAGUAUUACUCAGUACAUCAGUAAAGUUUGAUUUGAAAUGUGACUCUUGCAGCUUUUUUGUAAUUACAGUAUGACAAUAAACAUGAUUUACUUGUUUUCAAAAA